UACGUAGGGUGCGAGCGUUAAUCGGAAUUACUGGGCGUAAAGUGUGCGCAGGCGGUUCGACAAGUCCGAUGUGAAAGCCCCGGGCUCAACCUGGGAAUGGCAUUGGAAACUGGCGGGCUGGAGUGUGGCAGAGGGGGGUGGAAUUCCGCGUGUAGCAGUGAAAUGCGUAGAGAUGCGGAGGAACACCGAUGGCGAAGGCAGCCCCCUGGGCUGACACUGACGCUCAGGCACGAAAGCGUGGGGAGCAAACAGG
rnacentral:rRNA from 1 species